AGAGUUUGAUCAUGGCUCAGGAUGAACGCUGGCGGCGUGCCUAAUACAUGCAAGUCGAGCGAAUUGACAGAGGUGCUUGCACCUCUCGAUUUUAGCGGCGGACGGGUGAGUAACACGUGGGUAACCUACCUAUAAGACUGGGAUAACUUCGGGAAACCGGAGCUAAUACCGGAUAAUAUUUAGCUUCGCAUGAAGCAAUAGUGAAAGACGGUUCUGCUGUCACUUAUAGAUGGACCUGCGGUGUAUUAGCUAGUUGGUGAGGUAACGGCUCACCAAGGCAACGAUACAUAGCCGACCUGAGAGGGUGAUCGGCCACACUGGGACUGAGACACGGCCCAGACUCCCACGGGAGGCAGCAGUAGGGAAUCUUCCGCAAUGGACGAAAGUCUGACGGAGCAACGCCGCGUGAGUGAAGAAGGUUUUCGGAUCGUAAAACUCUGUUGUAAGGGAAGAACAAGUACGUUAGUAACUGAACGUACCUUGACGGUACCUUACCAGAAAGCCUCGGCUAACUACGUGCCAGCAGCCGCGGUAAUACGUAGGUGGCAAGCGUUAUCCGGAAUUAUUGGGCGUAAAACGCGUGUAGGCGGUCUCUUAAGUCUGAUGUGAAAGCCCCCGGCUCAACCGGGGAGGGUCAUUGGAAACUGGGAGACUUGGGUACAGAAGAGGAGAGUGGAAUUCCAUGUGUGGCGGUGAAAUGCGCAGAGAUAUGGAGGAACACCAGUGG
rnacentral:rRNA from 1 species